rnacentral:rRNA from 1 species
AUUGAACGCUGGCGGCAGGCCUAACACAUGCAAGUCGAGCGGAGCGGCGGACGGGUGAGUAAUGCCUAGGAAUCUGCCUGGUUGUGGGGGAUAACGUCCGGAAACGGGCGCUAAUACCGCAUACUAUCAGAUGAGCCUAGGUCUGAUUAGCUAGUUGGUGGGGUAAAGGCCUACCAAGGCGACGAUCCGUAACUGGUCUGAGAGGAUGAUCAGUCACACUGGAACUGAGACACGGCCCAGACUCCUACGGGAGGCAGCAGUAGGGAAUCUUCGGCAAUGGGGGGAACCCUGACCGAGCAACGCCGCGUGAGUGAAGAAGGUUUUCGGAUCGUAAAGCUCUGUUGUUAAGGAAGCGGUAGUGGCAGAAGAAGCACCGGCUAACUACGUGCCAGCAGCCGCGGUAAUAC